CCUACGGGGGGCUGCAGUGGGGAAUAUUGGACAAUGGGGGCAACCCUGAUCCAGCAAUGCCGCGUGUGUGAAGAAGGCCUGAGGGUUGUAAAGCACUUUCAGUGGGGAGGAGGAUUGACAGGUUAAGAGCUAGUUAAUUGGACGUUACCCACAGAAGAAGCACCGGCUAACUCCGUGCCAGCAGCCGCGGUAAUACGGAGGGUGCGAGCGUUAAUCGGAAUUACUGGGCGUAAAGGGUGCGUAGGUGGUUGUAUAAGUUAACUGUGAAAUCCCCG
rnacentral:rRNA from 1 species